UUGGAGGGCAAGUCUGGUGCCAGCAGCCGCGGUAAUUCCAGCUCCAAUAGCGUAUAUUAAAGUUGUUGCAGUUAAAAAGCUCGUAGUUGAAUUUCGGGAUCAAUGUUUCGGUCAUGCCGUUGGUAUGUACUGAUAUUAUUGGUUUCUCACCUUCUAAAGAACCGUAAUGCCAUUAAUUUGGUGUCACGGGGAAUUAGGACUGUUGCCUUGAAAAAAUUAGAGUGUUUAAAGCAGGCUCACGCUUGAAUACAUUAGCAUGGAAUAAUGAAAUAGGACAUCCGAUUCUAUUUUGUUGGUUUCUAGGAUCGAUGUAAUGAUUAAUAGGGAUAGUUGGGGGCAUUAGUAUUCAAUUGUCAGAGGUGAAAUUCUUGGAUUUAUUGAAGACUAACUACUGCGAAAGCAUUUGCCAAGGAUGUUUUCAUUAAUCAAGAACGAAAGUUAGGGGAUCGAAGACGAUCAGAUACCGUCGUAGUCUUAACCAUAAACUAUGCCGACUAGGGAUCGGAUGAUGUUUAUUUUUUAGUGACUCAUUCGGCGCCUUACGGGAAAC
rnacentral:rRNA from 1 species